CGACCAGCGAUCCAUACCGGGUUGAACUUGCGCUCCCCACGUGGUCGAUAAACCAUCCAUGACCUGCAUGGCAAUAAAUCCGCCAACACCGGCAAGCAUCAGCAGAAAACCGAGAGCUGCAAGCUGACUCCAGUUUUUUGUUCGAACGAGGGGAUGUGAACGGCGACCAGUCCGAGAGCUGAACCUUGGAUGGCGAAGUA
rnacentral:rRNA from 1 species